AGGAAACUCAGCACAGGAGCUGAUCCAGGAUGUCUGAUGCCUGAAUCUGUAAUUCCCACUGAGAUCGAACUUCCAGUGACUCCAGAAAAGGACGGCAGCAUGACCAUCCUUUCCUGUUCAGCCAAACACCUUAACUAGAAUUAUUCAAGUUUAAAGCAAAAUUUCAGCAGUAACUGAAAUGCUUGCAGAAUACACGAACAACAGCGCCCUCUGCACCUGAAACCCCUCCGGUUAUUAAACCCAGACGUUCCUACGUGCUGGAGGAGCCUUUAAUUUCAAUUACUGCUUUUUUCAGCUGCUGGUCCCUGAGACACAGUGUUAGUCUGCUGGGUUACUUUGUGAGUGUGCUGUGUCUCAGCAGAGAAGAGCAGCUUUGAAUAUGGAAAUGAAGGAGCAGUAAACAUCACACUGAACCAUGGGGGGGACCUGGUCAUGAGCAAAUCACAAACAGACUGUCUCGACUGGCAGAAAAUCAAGCACCAACAUUUCAUCAGUGGAGGAACUCUUCUCUCCAGAGAUUUUUAUCCUUGCAGUGCUCCCCUGUGUCUUUCCACAUCCAAUUCUUAAGGUCUUUGAAAAAAGGGAUUAGAAAAACAUACACAUCAACAAAUGACCCUUGAUCUAGUAGACUACCACAAACACAUGCAAGAUAUUCUAACCAGCAGAGCCAUAGAUAUUUCUGGUGUUAUAUUUGGCUAAAAUCUCACCACCAAUCUCAGCUUCUGGCAUGGAAGGAAAGAAAUCCAUUCCCAAGGGGCACAGAAAGGAUGCAAACCUCAAGGCAAGACCCAACCCUUGCAGCCUUUGUGCGAGGUGAAGAAAAUGAAGGAAGUGAAUAAACUGCCCACCUGCUAAAACUGAUGCUGCAAACUGCCCCCAGGAGAACUGCCAAGGAAUCCAGCCUCAUUUUGCCUGGGAAUGCAAGAUCUCCACUGUGGCUCCUCAAACUCUGUUCCCAUCCUUGCCCUUCUGCCCAGGAAAUACCAUUUAAUGCAUGUGUCCAGUUACUGCAACAACUUUGAAGAAAGGAAGACGUCAAAGGCAAUGCAAGAAGGCAAGAUCUGGCAACAGCACCUGUCAAGAUUCCAAACCCAAGAAAUUAAAAAACACCUACUGUCCAAAUUAUUGUUGUACUGGUAGAAACAGGAUAGUAGCCUUUGGUCUUCCUGUGAAUAAACUGGAACAGAACUCUGUAUUGCCAGCUGAAUUUCUUUUUCAGCAACUCAACUUUCACAGUGAAUCAGGAGUACAAUUCUUCUACUCUCUGCAUUUUAGUUUGGUCUCAGCUCUGUCUUCAUGAUGAGCACCAUUAGGCUUGUUUGCAUGAAUACCACAAUGGAAAUUAUAAAAUGGCUGGUGGUGCUCAGAAUUUGCAAGUAAAGAUCUCUAAAUGAGAAUUUUGGAUCCCCACUUCCCACCAACAGCAACAAUUUAGAUACUUAAGUUUUUUCCUGGAGCCACAGUACAAUGUUUCCAAAAGCAGAAAGAAGUGCCUCAUGGAAAAAUCAGAAUCAGCUGAAGAUGUAAUUUUAUUGCAUAAAUGCUUUUUGAAAUAUGACUGUUCUGUUUCUCAGUAAAUGAAAUGUAAUAAUUUUAGAAAAUUUAAAAUUUAGCAAAAUUUGUACAAAAUGGAGUGAGAGGAAAAAGCUUGACAAAUACAGUCCCCAAAGCGAAAGCAUCAUGAGAGAACAUCUACAUGUCCAAGUUAAUUCACUGUUAGGAGUGUUUUUAUUCUUGGUUUCAUUUCAAACAGAAACAUUAAAGUUAUAAGUAAGGAAGCAACAGAGAAAUCUGAAUUGUUAUGUUUGUGAGUUACUGGGAGACGAGAUAUGCUUAGAGAAAAAGGAGCCUCCUGAAGUGUUCAAAAAGAUGAGAAAAUUGUAUGUGCUAUAAAACGAGAUUAUAAAGUGGAAUAAAAUUUUAGGAUGCAGUAAAUGAGAGGUAUGAAAUAGGGAGAUUAUCAUCUACUAUCUAUCUAUCUAUCUGUCUAUCUAUCUAUCUAUCUAUCUAUCUAUCUAUCUAUCUACCUACCUACCUACCUACCUACCUACCUGUCUACCUACCUGUCUACCUAUCUAUCUAUCUCAUAUUUAUAGAGAGGAAACCAGUCAGGACAGGGGAUGUAUUGCAAUACAUUGCAACUGAUUUGAUUGCAUAUAUAUUUAUGGCUACUCUUAUGUUCAGACACACACAACCAAGUGGAUCUUGCACAUUUGUGAGCAGGCUGGGGCAAUUUUGUUUACAUUGAUGUAGUAGCAACUGUGGUCAUUCUGCAUGGGUAUUCUGAAUGCAGCUUCAGUUUGGAAGGGGAAGGAGGGAAUGCAGCAGGGUGAAUGGAGUUUUGCAAACAAGCUAUUACAGGAAUUUAUUUGUGUUGUACUACAGGGCUAUUCAUUACUCCUUUGCAAUUUCUCUGCACUCAACAUAGUUUUUGUCUACUAAUAUAGCUUUGAGUGUGCACACUUAUUUUUGUCUGAGCACUAGUUUGUGCUUUAGGCCUGGUUUUGCUGUAUAAAAAAUUCCUGACAGUGGUUUGGUCAUGCAGCAAAGUAGCUGCUUGACUAGGUAUGUUUCACAUACAGAGCAGAUGGUUAUGACUGUAAAAGCCUCCCAGAGGCCACACACCACUGGGCAUCUAUACUGAAUUGUGCAGAUGUUUCCCAGGGCUUGAAGUGCAAGAAGACCAGCAAAAUGAGGAGGGAACAUGAUUGUACAGACUGGAAAUCACCACAGUCAUUCUACGAAUUCAGCCUAAUGAAUUAGGUGUGGUGCUCCUUGUCAUUCCAGUAUCAGUAAAUUCAAUUCAUGGAGCUAUUCUCACUAGCAAAUUUAUUGAAACUGUUAUCUGGAAACCUCCAACCUCAGAUUUUGCAUCAGUGAUUUAAGCUCAGAAACUUGUCCAUGAACUUCAGAGGUUACUACAUCAGUACAGAUUUAGUACUGCUAACUCUUUGGAGUCAGCAACCUCUUUUUAGCAGAGAAUAUAAAUGUGUGAGGUAUGCGCAAAAUAUGCUCUUAAAUCUGCAACAGGCUAUUAAUUAUACUCUGUAGCUAUGCCUUUAUCAAUUGCACUGGAGCAAUGGCAGCUGGCAAAAACUAGGUAUAGAAACAGACAAAAUAAGGGCUGCAAUAGAAGCAAAGAAAUAUCUUGCAUGAUGAAGGAAUAUUGCACAGGGUAGAUAUGGGGCAAUAAUUCAAAACUUAAACAGGAUAAGAGUGAUCCUGUACAGAGUAAUAGCUGCAUAGUGUGCCCAUGAGUAGAAGAAAGCCAGGGGAAGAGAGCUUCAAAUUUGAACUCAGAGGAUGUUAUAAGAUAGUAGCCAGUAGGAAAAAGGAUGUAAUAUAGAAAAAGGGCAUUAGUGGGACCACUCUCAAAGCCAAUGAUUGACUGAAAGGGACAGAUAUAAUGACAGCAGAGCAUUAAAGACAAGAAUGGUAGAGUAUCAGAAAAUUCUUAGUUACCUUAGACUGAAAAGUAAAAAGACACAUGCAAGACCUGUCUGAUCAUCCCAGUAUUUGAGAACACGUUUCGUACUAACCUCUUUUUUUCUUUUUCCUUCUAUACUAAUGGCUUUUUCUUACAACAGUUUAUUUGUUCCUGCUGAGAUAUGUACACAUGCACAUGUACACACUGCUUCACACUCCUCUACAGAUAAGCAUGACCCAGAGUACAACAUUAUUUUCUGCAUUUGUUCAGAUUCCUGGAAAAAUACUCAAGGGAGGCAGCGCAGAUCUGAUAUAUGGAUGCCAAUUUGUCCCUCUGUCUUAACAACACAGUCAAGGUCUGACCUUCCCCAGCUUCCAGGGGUUUAUGAGUAGAGGAAGGUAAGAAAAAAAAAAAUCACCAUACUAUUAUAGAUGAAAAGAGCCCUGAAAAUGGAAAAAAUGUUAAUUAAUACGUCAUAUAUCCAUAACCCAUUUGGAUUUUUACUUACCUUUGCCAGCUUAAGAUAUUCAGAUGAGGCACUGGGACUAUACAUGCUUUAAAGAAAGGUGUGUACGUAGCUGUAAAGGAAGGUGCAGUAUCUUUUUCCUAACAAGAGAUUUAAAUUAUUUUUAAUAUCUUUUGUGAAUCACUACUAAAGAAAGUGGCAACUUCUCUAGCUUUUGGAAAAAAAAGGAAACAAAAGAAAAGCCUUUGGAUGCCCACAGUAGGUGGCAUCAGCUACUGACCUACCUACUAAUAAGGCAAAUGAAAGGAAAACAGUCUGAGAGAGAACUAAAUAGCAGAGCCAAAGUCUUGAGGAGAGAACAGGCAAAGGAGGCAUACAGUGCUUAAUUCACCCUGACUAAAAAGCUCUGUCAAACCACAGGUUGAGGAUGCUACCAUUACAACAGGAAAAAAACAGUUAAUUGCAUUAUACUCCUUUGACUGGAAUACUGCUGGAAUACAUGGCUGAAAAGAGAAAGUCUAAUAAGUCUUUAAGAUAAUAAUAUAUAGCCUGGGAGGAAGCACUAGGGCUAGUCAGGCUUCUGCUUGCUGUUACAGGAGCUGUGUCCUAGUGGAUGAUCUAUGGGAAAUAGCUCUGAAAUCAAAUUAACCGAGCUGCUCUGGCUUCACAACCAGCACUUUGUGCAGUAAACAGAAACAUGGGACAGAAUAAAUUAAACAGAAAAGUCAGAAUCAUAAAUGCCUUCCUUGGCUGCUUUGGAAAUGUGCAAGGCUUAUUAUGGUUCCUAAACCUGUUCCUGUCCCUUAAAGCCUUCCUGGAAUAUUUAGAAAACAUUUCCUUAGAGCUUGAGUCCUUUUACUGCACUCCCUUCUAAGCAAAUAGAGGCUUUUAACAUGUCUUUAAUAAUCAUAAAAUUUGCUCUUAAGCAGUUCAUUGUUCCAUUUUUUACAUUUACUGAAUAUCAACAUUAAGGUUUUAUGAAUUAAUUUAUUUAUAUAUUUAAUACUUGAGUUUACAUAUUUUUGAUAAAUCUAUAUUAUUAAAUUUAUAUACAUAUAUUUAAUAUAAAUGUAAUGUCUGGUGAAAACACUGUCCUGAAAAGCCUUUUUAGGAACUAUCGUUGACAUGGGACAGUUCUGCUGCAACUGGUAUAACUCCAUGUUAUUUUUGGGUACUUAUUUUUCACUGUUACUUUGGCAUUUUUCUCAUUUUACAUUUAUAAUAUGCAUCAUUUGGUUUGCUGCUUAACUCUGAAAUAAUGCAGAAAACACAAUGAAAAUAUUUUUUUAAAUGUAUGUAUUUUUGUGUGUUUUAUUGGCUUAAGGGACAAGAGGAUUGAACCAUUGAUGUCUUCUUGCAAGUUUCCCAUUAAAAAAAAAAAAGGAAAAAAAAAGAAAAGACACAUCUAUAUAGAAUUCUUGCCUUUUUGUUUGGGCAGAUUCUUGCAAUUUCUUCCCAUGGCUUUAGUGACUCGUGGAAAUUUCUCAUAUAGUCCAUACCAUCAGCAGGAUUCUUUCCCAGAUUUCUCACCCUUUUUAAUUUGUAUCCCCUAGUUACCUGCUCCAUCCUUUCCUUCCCCCUCCCUUCUCCAACACUAAUAGCCUGCUGGAAUCCACCUUCUAAAUGAAAUCAGUCAAGUCACCUCAGCUUUGAUUGCCUUAUUCCCAUGCUGUAGAAUGAAAGCACUUUAUUGAACCAAAAAUGUUCUACAUUCAAUUGUCAUAAAUAACAAUGCACAGCAAAGAACUUAAGCUAUCAACAUAAACAAUACAAUAUGAAACUGUGCUUCAGA